rnacentral:rRNA from 1 species
UACGGAGGGAGCUAGCGUUGUUCGGAAUUACUGGGCGUAAAGGGCGCGUAGGCGGCGAACCAAGUCAGAUGUGAAAGUCCUGGGCUUAACCUGGGGACUGCAUUUGAUACUGGUUUGCUUGAAUUCGGGAGAGGAUAGCGGAAUUCCCAGUGUAGAGGUGAAAUUCGUAGAUAUUGGGAAGAACACCGGUGGCGAAGGCGGCUAUCUGGACCGACAUUGACGCUGAGGCGCGAAAGCGUGGGGAGCAAACAGG